CUACCCACCAUCAUGGCCUCAAUUUUGGCAAAUAUCACUGCUUUAUUGGAAGAAAUAUUUCUUGAAGGAAGAAACAGUGACAGGUCUCCCUGCUGCUGCGAGCACCUUGGGGAAAGAUGGUAAAAGAAGAAGAAGGAUGAGGAGGAGGAGGAAAAAAUGGCUGCCAGGAGCAGGAGAUUCACACUGCCAGCAUUGAAACCCAGCAAUAACUCUGGAGGCAAAAACAAACAACAACAACAAAAAAGAAAACACAAAAAAUUACUCUCAAUCUCUUUUAUCUAAUUUCAGCACUUAUACUGUGGGGUAGCUCAUCUGGCAAAUACAAUGGGAUCAGCAAUA